rnacentral:rRNA from 1 species
GAUGAACGUUGGCGGUGUGCCUAAUACAUGCAAGUCGAACGGAGACUGUAGCAAUACUGUCUUAGUGGCGAACGGGUGAGUAACGCGUUGGUGAUCUGCCUCGAAGUGUGGAAUAACCUCCCGAAAGGGAAGCUAAUACCGCAUAGUCUCUCAAGGUUUAGAAAAUUGAGAGUAAAGGAUUUAUUCGCUUCGAGAGGAGCCUGCGUCCCAUCAGCUAGUUGGUAGGGUAACGGCCUACCAAGGCUAUGACGGGUAGGGGACCUGAGAGGGGUGGCCCCCGACAAAGUGGAACUGAAACACGGUCCAUACACCUACGGGUGGCAGCAGUAGGGAAUAUUAGAAAUGGGCGGAAGCCUGAUCUAGCAACACCGCGUGUGCGAUGAAGGCCUUCGGGUCGUAAAGCACUUUUUGGAGGGAAUAGGAAGGAAGGUACCUCCAGAAUAAGUCUCGGCUAACUACGUG